rnacentral:rRNA from 1 species
CCCUUAGAUGUUCUGGGCCGCACGCGUGCUACACUGAGUAAAUCAAUGGGUAAGGGAACACGAAAGUGCAACCUAAUCUUGAAAUUUGCUCGUGAUGGGGAUCGACGGUUGCAAUUUUCCGUCGUGAACGAGGAAUACCUUGUAGGCGCGUGUCACCAUCACGCGCCGAAUACGUCCCUGCCCUUUGUACACACCGCCCGUCGCUCCUACCGAUUGAGUGAUCCGGUGAGGCUCUGGGACCUGGACGGAAAGAGCGUUUCGCUUGUUCUGUUUGGGAAACUUGGUCGAACCUUAUCAUUUAGAGGAAGGAGAAGUCGUAACA